UAAAAGUAGGCUUAAUGGUAGCCCUUAAAGCUGCUUUCUCCUUUGGUUUACAUCAAAUCAUGGCUACCAUUUGUUCUCUUUUUCUGUAAAUUUGCAAUUCUUUGCCAAGGAUUUCUGUGCUCACCAGCAAGCUCUGCCUGGAUCCUUUUCUCUGCUUGGCUCUGGCGCAUAAAAAGGAGGACUCAAUUGCCCAAACACAAAUUCCUCAGUAACAGUUUACAUUAACAUCUCUCUGCUUAUCCUGUAAUAGCAAUGUAUGUACUCUGGCUCUUUGCAUUCAUGUUUGUGGAAGCAGAUGUAUCUCAUGUACCUGUUUUAUCUAUCAUAUCACUAAGAAAACAGAGAUGUUUUGAAGUACACAUUUGGAAAGUCAAAGUCUUCAUAAAUAUGCUGGUUAAUCACUUCAUCCAUGGGUGAAAAAUGCUGCCUUGUUCUUGAGACAUGUUGCAUGUACGGGGCAUUCUGUGUUAUUGCUUUUCAAAAUCCAGAAGACAGAUUAAGCUUUGAAGAUUGUUCUUACAUAUAAUUUUUGGCUUUUUGGUUUAUGUCCAAUGCCAGUGAAUACAAAAAAGUCACUAGCAGUAAUGAUUUCUGAUUACACAAUUAAGUUCUCAUGACUACACAGUAACUGAACCAUGUUGCAGUUUCAUUUAGCAUGAUUGUCUCCAAUUCAAAUACAUUGGCUAAAUAGUGGUGCAUUAAGAUAACUAAAUUAGAUAAAUAGAUAAUGGCAUUAAAUAACUGCUUAAUUAAGGUGAAUAAAAUGCCUUUUAAAUUAAA